CGCGGCCUAUCAGCUUGUUGGUGGGGUGAUGGCCUACCAAGGCGACGACGGGUAGCCGGCCUGAGAGGGCGACCGGCCACACUGGGACUGAGACACGGCCCAGACUCCUACGGGAGGCAGCAGUGGGGAAUAUUGCGCAAUGGGCGAAAGCCUGACGCAGCGACGCCGCGUGGGGGAUGACGGCCUUCGGGUUGUAAACCUCUUUCGACCGGGACGAAGCGUGAGUGACGGUACCGGUAGAAGAAGCACCGGCCAACUACGUGCCAGCAGCCGCGGUAAUACGUAGGGUGCGAGCGUUGUCCGGAAUUAUUGGGCGUAAAGAGCUCGUAGGCGGUGUGUCGCGUCGGUCGUGAAAACUUGGGGCUUAACUCUGAGCUUGCGGUCGAUACGGGCAUCACUUGAGUUCGGCAGGGGAGACUGGAAUUCCUGGUGUAGCGGUGAAAUGCGCAGAUAUCAGGAGGAACACCGGUGGCGAAGGCGGGUCUCUGGGCCGAUACUGACGCUGAGGAGCGAAAGCGUGGGGAGCGAACAGGAUUAGAUACCCUGGUAGUCCACGCCGUAAACGGUGGGCGCUAGGUGUGGGGGCCAUUCCACGGUCUCUGUGCCGCAACUAACGCAUUAAGCGCCCCGCCUGGGGAGUACGG
rnacentral:rRNA from 1 species